CCUACGGGGUGCAGCAGUGAGGAAUAUUGGUCAAUGGACGAGAGUCUGAACCAGCCAAGUAGCGUGAAGGAUGACUGCCCUAUGGGUUGUAAACUUCUUAUAUAUGGGAAUAACAUGUUCCACGUGUGGGAUUUUGUAUGUACCAUAUGAAUAAGGAUCGGCUAACUCCGUGCCAGCAGCCGCGGUAAUACGGAGGAUCCGAGCGUUAUCCGGAUUGAUUGGGUUUAAAGGGAGCGUAGGUGGAUUGUUAAGUCAGUUGUGAAAGUUUGCGGCUCAACCGUAAAAUUGCAGUUGAAACUGGCAGUCUUGAGUACAGUAGAGGUGGGCGGAAUGCGUGGUGUAGCGGUGAAAUGCUUAGAUAUCACGAAGAACUCCGAUUGCGAAGGCAGCUCACUGGACUGCAACUGACACUGAGGCUCGAAAGUGUGGGUAUCAAACAGGAUUAGAUACCCGAGUAGUC
rnacentral:rRNA from 1 species